GAGAGCUGGCCGGCGCCGACCCGGCCUGGGGCAGCGGCCGCAGCUCCCCGCCCGGGACCGCGCAAAAAGGCCCAAGGUCCCGGGCCGCACUCACCGAAGUCCAGGAACUGCUUCAUGGAGAGCGGGGACGGCGAGAAGCGCGCGUAGAAGUCCACCUGGCCCGGAACGCCGCGCUCGGACGCCGGGCUGGAGCCCGAGUCCGAGCUGAAGCUGCGGCUGAAGCCGGCGGCGCGCAGCCCCGGGCCCGGGCCGGCCAAGGCGGCUCCGCGAAGCAGCCGCGCCAGCCUCAUGCCGAGUCCCGCUAGAGAAGCCACAGCCAGUACGCCAGGUUUCCCCGCGCCUCUGCCGAGUGGCAAGAAAAACCUAUUGGAUGGUUACAUGAGGACACAGCAAGAAAGCCCUUAUGAGACACUGAGUUCCGGCAUCUUGAUCUUGAACUUCACAGC
rnacentral:lncRNA from 10 species